rnacentral:sRNA from 1 species
GACCACUGUGAAGAUAUCAACGAAUGCUUGGAGGACAAGAGUGUUUGCCAGAGAGGAGACUGCAUUAAUACUGCGGGGUCCUAUGAUUGUACUUGUCCGGAUGGAUUUCAGCUAGACGACAAUAAAACAUGUCAAGAUAUUAAUGAAUGUGAACAUCCAGGGCUCUGUGGUCCUCAAGGGGAGUGCCUAAACACAGAGGGUUCUUUCCAUUGUGUCUGCCAACAGGGUUUCUCAAUCUCUGCAGAUGGCCGUACGUGUGAAGCUUCUGUGUGAGGAGCUGAAGCCGCAUUGACACCAGGGCUGACCUGCCCCGCUCUAAGCAGGGCUAAAUAACUCGCACAUAGCUGAAGGAAGGAGGGCCCUUCCCUGAUUUCCCAUGACUUGGAGAAGUGUCAGCAUCUGGUCAUAGUUAAUGAACCACAAUGAAGGGCAAACUCUGUCAACAUGAAUUGUCUUAAGUGUAGCAUGGCAGCUUCUAUAGCAAUAAAAAUGGCACCACUGGC